rnacentral:rRNA from 1 species
GUCCCUGCCCUUUGUACACACCGCCCGUCGCUCCUGCCAAUGGGUGGGGUGGUAAGAAGGUGGAAUGGACCACAGAUGUAGUGUCUCUGAUCUCCUUCGAGCUAUGUCAUCUAAAGGAAGGAGAAGUCGUAACAAGGUUUCCGUAGGUGAACCUGCGGAAGGAUCACCGGAUCUCAUCGAUCACUGUAUCCACGCUCGUCGUGGUUACUCUCUGUUUUCUCGCUUCUUUUCUGCUACCAGCAUGGUGGAUGUUUCCAUCAUUCCCGUAAACCAAAGCCUUGCUGACGGAUGUCUAGGCUCUUGCAUCGAUGAAGAACGUAGCAACCAGCGAUAUACGGUGAUAGGGGCGCUCUCGUGAAUCAUCGGAUCUUCGAACGCAUAUAGUGCUCGACGAAUAAACCCGCAUAGGGAUGAGCAUGCUUAGCACAGUGACGACGCAAACCGAAAGGUAUCACGGGCAGACAGCCCAUGAUACCAUCCUGCUCGAGCAUCAAACCUCCGUGGUUGCUGCCGGGUGUAACACUGCUCCUCGCUCAGGGGUUAACCAGGGUUAUCCGACAACUCUGGUAUCCUAGUCACCCCGGUGUACGUCCUG